rfam:Operophtera brumata OBRT01_Sc01196, whole genome shotgun sequence.
AUACUUACCUGGCACAGGGGACACCGUGAUCAGAAAGGCGGUUCCCCCAGAGCGAGGCCUGUUCAUUGCACUGCGAACGGGUUGACCUCUGCGAUUAUCCCUAAUGUGGAUAACUCGGGUGCGUUAUUUUUGGUAGUGGGGACUGCGUUCGCGCCGCCACCCU